rnacentral:ncRNA from 1 species
UCCUCAUCCAGAGGAGCCGAGGGACCGGCCCGUCGAAGCUCCGGCAACCGUCCGCGCCGACCCGCGCGAUGACGGUGCCAAUUCCGGCCCGCUCACCCGAGCGGGAGAGAUGAGAA